GGGGGCGGUGAAUAAAGAAAGGCUCGUAAAAUAGAUUAAGAGUUUGAGGGGUUUACCAGAGGGUUUUUAAGUCUAAGUGUGAAUGUAUUUAAGGGUGGAAAGAGAACAUUUGCUCCUUCUUUCACUCGCACAUUCAUUCACACCCCCUUGCCUGAGCCCCUCCGCGCAGCCAUCAGUCUCAGGGCUGCUUGAAUGUCUUCAUGAUGUGGUGGCUGACUUCCUCCAGAGCUGGUGAUCCAAGAGGGCAAGACAGCAGCUCCAUCUUUUGUGACCUAACUUCAGAAGUAACACUCUAUCAUUUCCACACUAUCUUACUGGUUACAUAGAAAAUCACUCCCAAAAUGUUAGAACAAGAAGAAACUUGUUCCUCCAUCUUCAAUGAAAAUAAGAAUCUUUAGAAACCCCACCAAGACUGCAAGUAGUUGGAGAAUUGGUCAAAUUCAAGUGCCUGCAUUUGGAUUUGGGGAAGUGGUUGGUCACCUUAUUGCCCUUCAAGAAUGCUGACCAGUCAACAAAGCCCUUCCAUGUAGCAGGGGCUUUCCAUCAGCUCAGCUUUCAACAACAAGGGGCAACCAAAGAUCAUCAUACAACUGGGGAGUGCCUCCGUCAUGACAGAUGGAGACCAAAAAACUGACAAACCGGGGGGAAAAACUCAAAGAAAACAGAAUUUCAGAGUUAUUGGGAGGACUAAGGGAAAAAAAACCAAAAAAUUAUAACUCAUAUCUUCAGAGAUCUCAAACCCAUGAAGUAAAGACUACAAAAAGAAAGUUCUUUGAAAUUAAAUUUGAAAAUAAAAUAUAAAAUUCAAUAAAAGGUUGGAAGACAAAGUCACAGAAAUUUCCAGAAAGAAAAUAUAGGAAAGUGAGAGUUUUGGUGAACAAGGGACAUCAAAUAAUAGGUAUUCCAGAAGAGAGAUCAGGGGAGGAAAUUAAGUAAAUAAUAUAAGAAAUGACUAAAAUAAGGGGAAGAAGUUAAGCAAAUUACAUAAGACAAUUACCAGAACUGAAAGACAGGAGUCUCUAAGUCAAAAAAGAUCUCCUGAGCAUCAGCAAUAAUGAAUGUAAAGAGACCCACACCAAAACACAUUGUGAUAUUUUGAAACACUUGAAAUGCAAUUUACAUCCUAAAUGCUCUCAGAGAGAAGAAAAAAAAAAAAAAAAAAACAGUCCAUGUACAAAGAAUCAGAAAUCAGAAUGGCAUCAGAAUUCUCAAUAACACUGGAAAUUAGAAGACAGUAAAACAAUGCAUUUAAAAUUCUAAGGAAAAAUUACUUUUCCUCAGGAUUAUAUAUCUAGCCAGAUUACCAAUCUUUAGUAAAUUUUGAAAAGAAAGUGUUUUUCCAUGUCUCACAAAAUUGACCUCCCAUGAAUCAUGCAUGUUUUUUAGGAGCCUUUUAGAUGAAUGGGCUUUAGUAAAACAGGGGUGUAAAGCAAAAAGGAAGGAGACACGGGAUCCAAGAAACAGAAUCCAACAUGGAAUGGGGGCAGGGGAACUCUCAGGAUAUUGGUUUAAUGCAAUUUCAGGCCCAUAGCUGCUUAGUGGAACAUUGAGAGGAAGCAAUACAGAUUGAAAGGUUGGAGGACUUCAGGAUCAAUGUAUCCAAGACAGACAUGGAAUUGGUAAACAGUUUUGGUCAUAUGGAAAAAUGUAUCAAGAGUGUUUCAGAGCUGUUAGAGGGUGUGGGAAAACUUGAGAUGUUGAAAGAGAACUAACAAAGGGAAACAUCUAUUCACUCCAGGAAAAUAAAUCAUGUAAGAAAGAAAAUAUA